ensembl:lncRNA
UUUUAUUUUUGCAAAUACGUUCACUUUAUUUGUAUUUUUUACCACAAAAUAAUGAAAUAUGCAGCAUCCCUUAAUUUUUACAUUAAAAAUAGUUAUUACAAUCAAUGAUAUGAGCAUUAUAUGGAUACAAGUAUGAAGUUGCAGUGCAAAGGCUUACAAAAUCUUGAGCAAAAUCAAAUAUAUUACUUUAAAAUUCUUUACCCUAAAUUACAGAGGUGCAAAUGAUCCCUUUGGGCCUCAACCAAUAUCCACAUAAAAUUAGUUCAAACAUAUUUCAUUUAGAUCUAAUAAAACUAUUCAAAAUAAAAAAUCCACCUUGUAUAAACUCACCUUUCCAUGUUAAGACUCCUCCUUACCUGUCCACAAAUAAAAUAUAGGUGAUCAACUAAAUCCUCCGGUCUUUUUACUGACCCUUAUUCCAAUCACAGAGGAGGCUUUACCUCUUCUCUGUGUCUGGUCAGGUCUGGUCAGGUUUGGUCUGGUCAUUAUGCUGGUCAGGUCAGGUCUGGUCAGGUAUGGUCAUUAUGCUGGUCAGGUCAGGUCAGGUCUGGUCAGGUCAGGUCAGGUCUGGUCAGGUCUGGUCAGGUCAGGUCAGGUCAGGUCUGGUCAGGUCUGGUCAGGUCAGGUCUGGUCUGGUCAGGUCAGGUCUGGUCAGGUCUGGUCAGGUCAGGUCUGGUCAGGUCAGGUCAGGUCUGGUCAGGUCUGGUCAGGUCAGGUCUGGUCAGGUCAGGUCAGGUCAGGUCAGGUCUGGUCAGGUCAGGUCAGGUCAGGUCUGGUCAGGUCAUUAUGCUGGUCAGGUCAGGUCUGGUCUGGUCAGGUCAGGUCAGGUCAGGUCAGGUCAGGUCAGGUCAGGUCAGGUCAGGUCAGGACAUUAUGCUGGUCUGGUCAGGGCAGGUCUGGUUAGGUCUGGACAGGUCAGGUCAGGUCAGGACAUUAUGCAGGUCUGGUCAGUUCUGGUCAGGUCUGGUCAGGUCUGGUCAGGACAUUGAUGCUUGAUCCUUUCACUGCAUUGCCAUUGUAGCCUCAGCAUCUGAAAAUACACAAGACAACAGAAUAAUCUGAUUAGGACAUAGAACAUUUC